UAAGAAGUUGAGUGGCGGACGGGUGAGUAACACGUGGGUAACCUGCCUAAAAGAAGGGGAUAACACUUGGAAACAGGUGCUAAUACCGUAUAUCUCUAAGGGUCGCAUGAUCCUUAGAUGAAAGAUGGUUCUGCUAUCGCUUUUAGAUGGACCCGCGGCGUAUUAACUAGUUGGUGGGGUAACGGCCUACCAAGGUGAUGAUACGUAGCCGAACUGAGAGGUUGAUCGGCCACAUUGGGACUGAGACACGGCCCAAACUCCUACGGGAGGCAGCAGUAGGGAAUCUUCCACAAUGGACGCAAGUCUGAUGGAGCAACGCCGCGUGAGUGAAGAAGGUCUUCGGAUCGUAAAACUCUGUUGUUAGAGAAGAACACGAGUGAGAGUAACUGUUCAUUCGAUGACGGUAUCUAACCAGCAAGUCACGGCUAACUACGUGCCAGCAGCCGCGGUAAUACGUAGGUGGCAAGCGUUGUCCGGAUUUAUUGGGCGUAAAGGGAACGCAGGCGGUCUUUUAAGUCUGAUGUGAAAGCCUUCGGCUUAACCGGAGUAGUGCAUUGGAAACUGGAAGACUUGAGUGCAGAAGAGGAGAGUGGAACUCCAUGUGUAGCGGUGAAAUGCGUAGAUAUAUGGAAGAACACCAGUGGCGAAAGCGGCUCUCUGGUCUGUAACUGACGCUGAGGUUCGAAAGCGUGGGUAGCAAACAGAAUUUAGAUACCCUGGUAGUCCACG
rnacentral:rRNA from 1 species